UACGUAGGCAGCAAGCGUUGUUCGGAGUUACUGGGCGUAAAGAGUGCGUAGGUGGUGCCCUAAGUCUGUUGUGAAAUCUCCCGGCUUAACUGGGAGGGUGCGGUGGAAACUGGGGUGCUUGAGUGUGGGAGAGGUAAGCGGAAUUCCUGGUGUAGCGGUGAAAUGCGUAGAUAUCAGGAGGAACACCGGUGGUGUAGACGGCUUACUGGACCACGACUGACACUGAGGCACGAAAGCGUGGGUAGCAAACAGGAUUAGAUACCCUGGUAGUCCACGCCCUAAACGAUGCAUACUUGGUGUGAGCCAUUCAUUUGGUUCGUGCCGGAGCUAACGCGUUAAGUAUGCCGCCUGGGGAGUACGGUCGCAAGGCUGAA
rnacentral:rRNA from 1 species